AGCAGUGGGGAAUAUUGGACAAUGGGCGAAAGCCUGAUCCAGCCAUGCCGCGUGUGUGAAGAAGGUCUUCGGAUUGUAAAGCACUUUAAGUUGGGAGGAAGGGCAUUAACCUAAUACGUUAGUGUUUUGACGUUACCGACAGAAUAAGCACCGGCUAACUCUGUGCCAGCAGCCGCGGUAAUACAGAGGGUGCAAGCGUUAAUCGGAAUUACUGGGCGUAAAGCGCGCGUAGGUGGUUUGUUAAGUUGAAUGUGAAAUCCCCGGGCUCAACCUGGGAACUGCAUCCAAAACUGGCAAGCUAGAGUAGGGUAGAGGGUGGUGGAAUUUCCUGUGUAGCGGUGAAAUGCGUAGAUAUAGGAAGGAACACCAGUGGCGAAAGCGACCACCUGGACUCAUACUGACACUGAGG
rnacentral:rRNA from 1 species